rnacentral:rRNA from 1 species
GAUGAACGCUGGCGGCGUGCCUAAUACAUGCCAGUCGAGCGAACAGACGAGGAGCUUGCUCCCCUGACGUUAGCGGCGGACGGGAGAGUAACACGUGGAUAACCUACCUAUAAGACUGGGAUAUCUUCGGGAAACCGGAGCUAAUACCGGAUAACAUGUUGAACCGCAUGGUUCAACAGUGAAAGACGGUCUUGCUGUCACUUAUAGAUGGAUCCGCGCCGCAUGAGCUAGUUGGUAAGUUAACGGCUUAUCACGGCAACGAUGCGUAGCCGACGCGAGAGAGGGAUCGGCCACACGGGAACGUGAACGCGGUCCAUGCGCCUGCGGGAGGCAGCAGUAGGCAAUCUGCCGCAACGGUCGGGAUCCUGACGGAGCAACGCCGCGUGAGUUAAGAAGGUCUUCGGAGCGGAAAGCUCUGUUAUUAGGUAAGAACAAAUUUCUAAGUAACUAUGCACGUCUUGACGGUACCGAAUCAGAAAGCCACGGCUAACUACGUG